rnacentral:rRNA from 1 species
GUAGUCAUAUGCUUGUCUCAAAGAUUAAGCCAUGCAUGUCUAAGUAUAAGCAUCUAUACUGUGAAACUGCGAAUGGCUCAUUAAAUCAGUUAUCGUUUAUUUGAUAGUACCUUACUACAUGGAUACCUGUGGUAAUUCUAGAGCUAAUACAUGCUAAAAACCUCGACUUCGGAAGGGGUGUAUUUAUUAGAUAAAAAACCAAUGCCCUUCGGGGCUCCUUGGUGAUUCAUAAUAACUUAACGAAUCGCAUGGCCUUGCGCCGGCGAUGGUUCAUUCAAAUUUCUGCCCUAUCAACUUUCGAUGGUAGGAUAGUGGCCUACCAUGGUGGCAACGGGUAACGGGGAAUUAGGGUUCGAUUCCGGAGAGGGAGCCUGAGAAACGGCUACCACAUCCAAGGAAGGCAGCAGGCGCGCAAAUUACCCAAUCCCGACACGGGGAGGUAGUGACAAUAAAUACUGAUACGGGGCUCUUUUGGGUCUCGUAAUUGGAAUGAGUACAAUCUAAAUCCCUUAACGAGGAACAAUUGGAGGGCAAGUCUGGUGCCAGCAGCC